rnacentral:rRNA from 1 species
GACGUAGGGCGCGAGCGUUGUCCGGAUUUAUUGGGCGUAAAGGGCGCGUAGGCGGCCAUUCAAGUCAGAGGUGAAAGCCCAAGGCUCAACCUUGGAACUGCCUUUGAUACUGUUUGGCUUGAGACCGGUAGAGGUAAGUGGAACUGCGAGUGUAGAGGUGAAAAUUCGUAGAUAUUCGCAAGAACACCAGCGGCGAAGGCGGCGCUCUGGGCCGGUACUGACGCUGAGGAGCGAAAGCGUGGGGAGCAAACAGG